AGAAGCCACCAGAGUACAGUACCAAACGUCAUGACAACUGCAACAAUUCAGUGUGGUUACAAAAACGGAGAAGCAAUGCUGUUUCUGUGAGUAAGAACCUUUCACCACUGCCAGACCUGAGCAGGAAUUCAAGGAGGGCAAGGACACUGCUACUGAAGAAUCAACUCAUACCAAUUUAUACUAGAGAGGAC
rnacentral:lncRNA from 1 species